rnacentral:rRNA from 1 species
GGCGAUUUUAUUGGGCCUAAAGCGUCCGUAGCUGGCCCUGCAAGUCCGUCGGGAAAUCCACUCGCCUAACGAGUGGGCGUCCGGCGGAAACUACGGGGCUUGGGACCGGAAGACUUGAGGGGUACGUCUGGGGUAGGAGUGAAAUCCUGUAAUCCUGGACGGACCGCCGAUAGCGAAAGCACCUCAAGACGACGGAUCCGACAGUGAGGGACGAAAGCUAGGGUCUCGAAC